rnacentral:rRNA from 1 species
UCUUUUAAUUGGAGGCUCGUAUGAAUGGUUGGAUGAGGUAUAAACUGUCUCAAUAAAAAUUAUUAUUGAAUUUUAUUUUUUAGUUAAAAAGCUAAAAUAACAUUAAAGGACGAGAAGACCCUAUAAAACUUAAUAUUUUGUUUAUAUUAUUUAUAAAGAAUAAUUAAAAUUUUAUUUUAUAAAAUAUUUUGUUGGGGUGACAAUAAAAUUUAAUAAACUUUUAUUAAAAUUUAACAUUAAUAUAUGAAUAAUUGAUCCAAUAUUAUUGAUUAUAAAUUUAAGUUACUUUAGGGAUAACAGCGUAAUUUUUUUUGAGAGUUCAUAUCGACAAAAAAGAUUGC